UCCUUGGUGGUCCAGUGGUUAAGACUCUGCACUUGCACUGCAGGGGGAGCAGGUUCGAUCCCUGGUCAGGGAG